rnacentral:misc_RNA from 1 species
AAAGUCGUAACAAGGUUUCCGUAGGUGAACCUGCGGAAGGAUCAUUAUUGAUUUUAAAGGAUGUGCUGGCUCCUUUAGGAGCAUGUGCACUCCUAACAACCAAUAUCCACCUGUGCACUCCCAGUAGGCAGAGACUUUCAUAAAGUCUCUUGUCUAUGUUUCUUUUUACAAACACUUUGAGGUAUUUGAAUGCUUUAUACAAUAACUAUAAUUGUAAUACAACUUUCAACAAUGGAUCUCUUGGUUCUC